GCAGGAUUCAACUCUCAAUCCAAGGUUAGCAGUGUUGCCUUGGAUUCUAUCGCAAACGUCAAUCUGUGUUUUCUCUCAUAAGAUUUUAUCCAUGUAAGAUAUGUGAGUCUCAAAACUGAUGUCUCAGAAUUGGCCUUUUGUGAGUCUUUUAUAGAGUUCAGAUUGAACUGGUAUGAGAAGUUACAACUGUUUGAUUUGAAUUUCAAAAUCGAACAAAUGUGUCCUUUGUAAUUGUAACUGCUCUCAUAUCUAUCUGAAACAGAGAAAGACGUC
rnacentral:lncRNA from 1 species